rnacentral:misc_RNA from 1 species
AAGUCGUAACAAGGUUUCCGUAGGUGAACCUGCGGAAGGAUCAUUAACACGUAUCCUACGUUAAACAACCCGGUCACCUUCAUUGAGGCUAACCCCGGAAAACUAUCCCCGUUUUCUGGAUUCAGGUCUGGUCCUAGACCGGCCUUUCUCCAACCCCGAACAACUGUUAACAAUGGAUAUCUUGGCUCUC